rnacentral:lncRNA from 1 species
GUACACGACUGUACUAUCUUUUUUUUUUCUAUACUCUUUUCGGGGACUUGGGGAAACCACUGGAUGACCAUGAUGAGAUUAAUUUGCUGUUGACGUCCAUUUUCCGAUGUUCUCACAUCGAACUUGAAAUAUUUUUAACAGACGAGCUGGCUAAAAGUGCAUCUAACACCAGGCAAAUGCCAGCCAACGUUUCGCCUCGAUCCAACGACAA